rnacentral:rRNA from 1 species
UGGGGAAUAUUGGACAAUGGGCGAAAGCCUGAUCCAGCCAUGCCGCGUGUGUGAAGAAGGUCUUCGGAUUGUAAAGCACUUUAAGUUGGGAGGAAGGGCAGUUACCUAAUACGUGAUUGUUUUGACGUUACCGACAGAAUAAGCACCGGCUAACUCUGUGCCAGCAGCCGCGGUAAUACAGAGGGUGCAAGCGUUAAUCGGAAUUACUGGGCGUAAAGCGCGCGUAGGUGGUUAGUUAAGUUGGAUGUGAAAGCCCCGGGCUCAACCUGGGAACUGCAUUCAAAACUGACAAGCUAGAGUAUGGUAGAGGGUGGUGGAAUUUCCUGUGUAGCGGUGAAAUGCGUAGAUAUAGGAAGGAACACCAGUGGCGAAGGCGACCACCUGGACUGAUACUGACACUGAGGUGCGAAAGCGUGGGGAGCAAACAGGAUUAGAUACCCUUGUAGUCCCUGAGCGGGC